CGUGCAGGUGGAUUGUUAAGUCACUUAUGAAAGCUCCCGGCUAAACUGGGAGAGGCUGAGUGAAACUGGCAGUCUUGAGUAGAGGAGAGGUAGACGGAAUUCCGCGUGUAGUGGUGAAAUGCGUAGAGAUGCGGAAGAACACCGGUGGCGAAGGCGGUCUACUGGCCUCUAACUGACACUCAGACGCGAAAGCAUGGGUAGCGAACG
rnacentral:rRNA from 1 species